AAUACCAAUGUUCUACUUUUAUCAACAUUCAGGUAUUCAAGAUGAUUCAGUAGUCUCAAGGAGGAUCAGCUCAGAUCCCAACAGUUAAGCGUGAUAGCGGGGGACACUGUCUUCGUACCUGGAACGCCGGAAGAACCCGCACUGCGCAGACAAGGAAAAGAACAGUUCAGGUGUAAGUUGCUGCCGAAGUAUUACAACUGUAGAGGCAGUAAAUUCUUCCUUCACACAAAUAUGCAGGUCAGAAAAUUGAAAACAGAAGUAUGUAGACCAAAAAUGUAGCAUAUUUCAGCUGUAAAAAUGUGAGCCAAGAGGUCUGCAUUAGCUGUUCAGCAGCAGUUAAAGACAAAGGGCAUGCUCUGACUAUCCCUGGUAAUCAAAUACCUUAAAAAGAUUCCCUCCAGUACAAAGCUGUUCAUUCAUCUAAUAAGGACACUUAUUGCUACACAUGGGAAAGCUGCUUCUCCUGAAUCAAAGGUAGGUAUAUACUUCAAUAUCUUCCUGUAUGGUGACAUUAUUUACCCUUAAGAACCUACAUAAAGAUUUCCAUAACAUUCAAGAAAAGUUACCCUAAGGGCCUUAGUUUUCAAAGAACCAUUUCCACUUCAGUCACCUGAACUAACUACAAUAUGCUGUCUUAGAAACAUGAGUCUUGCUUAGUUUACCAUGGGAAGUCACCCUGGAUGAAAUCUAUAACAGUUUAUUUGUGCUGUGCAAUUUUUUAUUCAAAGCCACUGUGAAAACUGAUUUUUAAUAUUGAGGAAUGGAUUAAAAUUAAUUUCCAAAAUAAAAGGGAGCUAUGGCCACAAUAUUAUAAAGAUAAUGAUUGGUACAGACUCAGCUUUACAUCCUCAUGGAUCACUGAUCAUCCUUAGGGGUCAAGAGUUCAGGUUAAGAAGCAUUGUGCCAUCCAGCUGUCAUUAGAUACUGGUGGGGGUAAGAACAUGUUAAAGAGGGCAAGAUUUUGUUCAUAGUAUUUGGGGUGCUGGUUAUUUUAAUAUUAGAACUUAGAACGGAAUUAAAAAAAUUACAGUGAGCAAAGACCAAAUCUUUAGCCAUCUUAUAGGUUCAUUAAAUACUGAUUAGAAAUAAUUCAUAAAGAAUUCCUCCCCAGCCCCUCAUCCCAAGCACAUUUAAGGAUACAAUGUACAUGCAUGUGAUAUCUUAAGUUGAAUAAAGGUUGCUGGAAGCAUAAACCAUCAUGCAUCUUGUAGCUUCAGCAAAGUGUGUUCCUAGAGAAUUACACCUUACAACUCAAGUAAAACAGAUGUUUCCACAGCAAUAAAUUCUCAUAAUGAAAAUCCUUCGUGGAUGUAAGCAACAUGUACCUUUCAGCAUGCACUACAGUUUCAGACCAGAAAAUAAAAAAUAACCAGAUGAAUAAACACCCACCUUCCAUAGUAAGAAUACCAACAGUGCAAGCAUGAGUAUUCCAGCAAGGAUAGCCACCGCGAUGAUCCACCACGGAACUCCUGUAUAAAGGGCUACUGGUUUUGCAGGAAACACGGUAACACGCACCUACGGGAUGGAAAAUGUGCAGGUGGAAGGAGUAUUUUAGAAGGUACAUGUUUAAUCAGAAAGCUGCAAUUUAUAUAGUCUUAGCUCUCCUCUACCAAGAUGUCUUCUACAAAAUGCUUUUGAAGAAAAAGUUCCCACUGGUAUCAUUUGAAUAUGGCAAUGAAUUUUUUCAACCCCAUUAAAAGGUAAAAAUGAUCAAUAACUCAAAA